rnacentral:rRNA from 1 species
GAUGAACGCUGGCGGCGUGCCUAAUACAUGCAAGUCGAACGCACAGCGAAAGGUGCUUGCACCUUUCAAGUGAGUGGCGAACGGGUGAGUAACACGUGGACAACCUGCCUCAAGGCUGGGGAUAACAUUUGGAAACAGAUGCUAAUACCGAAUAAAACUUAGUGUCGCAUGACACAAAGUUAAAAGGCGCUUCGGCGUCACCUAGAGAUGGAUCCGCGGUGCAUUAGUUAGUUGGUGGGGUAAAGGCCUACCAAGACAAUGAUGCAUAGCCGAGUUGAGAGACUGAUCGGCCACAUUGGGACUGAGACACGGCCCAAACUCCUACGGGAGGCUGCAGUAGGGAAUCUUCCACAAUGGGCGAAAGCCUGAUGGAGCAACGCCGCGUGUGUGAUGAAGGCUUUCGGGUCGUAAAGCACUGUUGUAUGGGAAGAACAGCUAGAAUAGGAAAUGAUUUUAGUUUGACGGUACCAUACCAGAAAGGGACGGCUAAAUACGUGCCAGCAGCCGCGGUAAUACGUAUGUCCCGAGCGUUAUCCGGAUUUAUUGGGCGUAAAGCGAGCGCAGACGGUUUAUUAAGUCUGAUGUGAAAGCCCGGAGCUCAACUCCGGAAUGGCAUUGGAAACUGGUUAACUUGAGUGCAGUAGAGGUAAGUGGAACUCCAUGUGUAGCGGUGGAAUGCGUAGAUAUAUGGAAGAACACCAGUGGCGAAGGCGGCUUACUGGACUGCAACUGACGUUGAGGCUCGAAAGUGAGGGUAGCAAACAGGAU